rnacentral:rRNA from 1 species
ACGAAGGGGGCUAGCGUUACUCGGAAUUACUGGGCGUAAAGCGUGCGUAGGCUGUUUUGUAAGUUGGUAGUUAAAUUCUCGAGCUCAACUCGAGGCCUGCUAUCAAGACUGCAAGACUAGAGUACUGGAGAAGAUAGUGGAAUUCCUAGUGUAGAGGUGAAAUUCAUAGAUAUUAGGAGGAACACCAGAGGCGAAAGCGACUAUCUGGCCAGAAACUGACGCUGUUGCACGAAAGCGUGGGGAGCAAACAGG